CGUGUAGGCGGCCAGACAGGUCCGUUGUGAAAACUCGAGGCUCAACCUCGAGACGCCGAUGGAAACCGUUUGGCUAGAGUCCGGAAGAGGAGAGUGGAAUUCCUGGUGUAGCGGUGAAAUGCGCAGAUAUCAGGAAGAACACCCGUGGCUAAGGCGGCUCUCUAGUACGGUACUGACGCUGAGACGCGAAAGCGUGGGGAGCGAACA
rnacentral:rRNA from 1 species